GUCUACAGCCAUGCUACCCUGAACAAGCCUGAUCUCGUCUAAUCUCGGAAGCUAAGCAGGGUUCGGUUUGGUUAGUACUUCGAUGGGAGACCACCUAGGAAGACAGAAUGCUAUAAGUC
rnacentral:rRNA from 1 species